CAAGUCGACGGCAGCACGGGAGCAAUCCUGGUGGCGAGUGGCGAACGGGUGAGUAAUAUAUCGGAACGUGCCCAGUCGUGGGGGAUAACGCAGCGAAAGCUGUGCUAAUACCGCAUACGAUCUAUGGAUGAAAGCGGGGGACCGUAAGGCCUCGCGCGAUUGGAGCGGCCGAUAUCAGAUUAGCUAGUUGGUGGGGUAAAAGCCCACCAAGGCGACGAUCUGUAGCUGGUCUGAGAGGACGACCAGCCACACUGGAACUGAGACACGGUCCAGACUCCUACGGGAGGCAGCAGUGGGGAAUUUUGGACAAUGGGCGCAAGCCUGAUCCAGCAAUGCCACGUGCAGGAUGAAGGCCUUCGGGUUGUAAACUGCUUUUGUACGGAACGAAACGGCUCUGGUUAAUACCUGGGGCUAAUGACGGUACCGUAAGAAUAAGCACCGGCUAACUACGUGCCAGCAGCCGCGGUAAUACGUAGGGUGCGAGCGUUAAUCGGAAUUACUGGGCGUAAAGCGUGCGCAGGCGGUUUUGUAAGACAGACGUGAAAUCCCCGGGCUCAACCUGGGAAUGGCGUUUGUGACUGCAAAGCUGGAGUGCGGCAGAGGGGGAUGGAAUUCCGCGUGUAGCAGUGAAAUGCGUAGAUAUGCGGAGGAACACCGAUGGCGAAGGCAAUCCCCUGGGCCUGCACUGACGCUCAUGCACGAAAGCGUGGGGGAGCAAACAGGAUUAGAUACCCUGGUAGUCCACGCCCUAAACGAUGUCAACUGCUUGUUGGGUCUCUUCUGACUCAGUAACGAAGCUAACGCGUGAAGUUGACCGCCUGGGGAGUACGGCCGCAAGGUUGAAACUCAAAGGAAUUGACGG
rnacentral:rRNA from 1 species